GCUUGCUGGCUCACUCACAGAUUCGUGCUCAGCCAGCUUUCUUUUGUACAGACUGCUUGCCUAGCACUGGUGCCACCCACAGCGGGCUGCACCCUCCUGUAUCAUAAUGAUCGGGACAACCCCUCACAGACACACCCACAGGCCACUCUGACCUGGGCUAUCUAUCCCUCAGGUGAGGCUUCCUUCUCAGGUCAAGUCCACAGUUAAAGCUAACUAGGACGGCAGGUAAAAGCUGGAGAAGAAAGAUGCGUGGGUGGACAGACAGAAGGACAGUGACGGCACCUGUGCGGCAGACUCGCUGCAGCCGGGUCCACAUGUGUCCAUCCAGGAAGACGCUGAUUGGAAGUUGCAAAGGGGUGACAAGUGUGCCCGGGAAUGUCUGGGCAGAGGAAAAGUCAUCUGGACUGGGUUUUGAAGGAUGAAGAGGAGUUCAUUACAGAAAAAGAUCUGCAAAAAUGGCAGAAGGAAACAUUUGGUGUCACCUUAAGAAUUGAAAAAAAAACAAACUCACAAGAGCACGCGCUACCCAUCAAAGCUAACCAGGAAAAAGAGAAAACAAGAGGGUCGUCGGGGCUGCUGGUAUAGCUACAAGGCAGAUGGAAACAUCUUCCUGCUGCUGAUAAGACUGAAGCCCAGAGCACGGACUUAUCCAGAGUCACACAGCCAAAUUCUAGUGCCUUCCAUCAGUUGGCAGCCGCUAUGAGUGAGAGCGAAGAUCUGAACAGAUACCUGGAUCCUCCCAGGACCUGUCGAAGGCCUGGCCUGGGGUGAGGGGCACCUGGCUGUACUCCUUGUGAGCAGGAACAAGCUCAGGUGCUGAGUCACGGGGAACGACAGGCUCCAGCCUCAGUGGUCUCUGCCUCAGUUUACCUAGCUAUAAAAAUGGGUUUAAUAACA